rnacentral:misc_RNA from 1 species
AUAAAUUGAUGAGAAGGAAA